ensembl:lncRNA
GCCAAAGGCUACUCUUUAAAGGUUAAAGUCAGGUGGCUCUUGCAAAUAUGCUAAACACAAGAAAAGAUACUUUAAAGAAUAUCCAGAACAAGAAAGUAUAGGCCUGAGGAAAGCCUCUCUGGAGACAAUGUACAAAGCUGCCAUGUUUGUGAGGUUCACUAGGCAAAGAACAGAGAGUUGCCUCUGGAAAACAGCCAGCAAGGAACCAAGACCUCAGUCCAGUUGCCUACUCUCAAAGAACUGAAUCCUGUCAACAAAUAUUUGAGUGAGGUGGAAACAGAUACUUCCUCGGUUGAACCUUGACAUUAUCACAUCCCCCAUUGGUUGCAGCCUGGGAGAGACCCUG